GCGCCCAUAGCUCAGCUGGAUAGAGUGUCUGACUACGAAUCAGAAGGUCACAGGUUCGAAUCCUGUUGGGCGUGCCA
rnacentral:tRNA from 3 species